rnacentral:snRNA from 1 species
GUGCUAGCUUCGGCAGCGCAUAUACUAAAAUUGGAAUGAUACAGAGAAGAUCAACAUGUCUCCUGCACAAGGAUGACACGC